UACGAAGGGUGCAAGCGUUACUCGGAAUUACUGGGCGUAAAGCGUGCGUAGGUGGUUUGUUAAGUCUGAUGUGAAAGCCCUGGGCUCAACCUGGGAAUGGCACUGGAUACUGGCAAGCUAGAGUGUGGCAGAGGGUAGUGGAAUUCCUGGUGUAGCAGUGAAAUGCGUAGAUAUCAGGAGGAACACCGGUGGCGAAGGCGGUCUUCUGGCUCAUUACUGACGCUGAGGCACGAAAGUGUGGGGAGCAAAC
rnacentral:rRNA from 1 species